UGCUUACACAUGCAGUCGAACGGAAAGGCCCAGCUUGCUGGGUACUCGAGUGGCGAACGGGUGAGUAACACGUGGGUGAUCUGCCCUGCACUCUGGGAUAAGCCUGGGAAACUGGGUCUAAUACCGGAUAUGACCAACUGUCGCAUGGUGGUUGGUGGAAAGCUUUUGCGGUGUGGGAUGGGCCCGCGGCCUAUCAGCUUGUUGGUGGGGUAAUGGCCUACCAAGGCGACGACGGGUAGCCGACCUGAGAGGGUGAUCGGCCACACUGGGACUGAGACACGGCCCAGACUCCUACGGGAGGCAGCAGUGGGGAAUAUUGCACAAUGGGCGCAAGCCUGAUGCAGCGACGCCGCGUGAGGGAUGACGGCCUUCGGGUUGUAAACCUCUUUCACCAGGGACGAAGCGUGAGUGACGGUACCUGGAGAAGAAGCACCGGCCAACUACGUGCCAGCAGCCGCGGUAAUACGUAGGGUGCGAGCGUUGUCCGGAAUUACUGGGCGUAAAGAGCUCGUAGGCGGUUUGUCGCGUCGUCUGUGAAAUUCUGCAACUCAAUUGCAGGCGUGCAGGCGAUACGGGCAGACUUGAGUACUACAGGGGAGACUGGAAUUCCUGGUGUAGCGGUGAAAUGCGCAGAUAUCAGGAGGAACACCGGUGGCGAAGGCGGGUCUCUGGGUAGUAACUGACGCUGAGGAGCGAAAGCGUGGGUAGCGAACAGGAUUAGAUACCCUGGUAGUCCACGCCGUAAACGGUGGGUACUAGGUGUGGGUUCCUUUUCACGGGAUCCGUGCCGUAGCUAACGCAUUAAGUACCCCGCCUGGGGAGUACGGCCGCAAGGCUAAA
rnacentral:rRNA from 1 species